CUCUUCCCGAGAUGGGACCCCCAAACACACCCCCGGGGGCUCUCUCCACACCCCAAGAGUCCUAUCUGUGCCUCCCGAGUGCAAGUUCACCCAAGUGGUGAGUUUUUACGGACUCCCUUCCUCGCUUGAAAGAGACCUUCUUUGGCUACCCGCCCCCUGUCCGGUGGCUCCGACGUGGCUACUUUGCAGGAUGGGCUGUAUAAAGGGCUAGAGGCAGAUCUACCCAAACCAGAGACGUGGCGUCUGCUAGACCGGCCUAGGCUCCAGCUCUUCCAGGACCAUAGAUUCAAAAGGAGGUGGAUAGAAGCUCAAAUUGCCACGAUCUUGUUGUGUCUGUCACCUUUCAAAUGAAAGAAUUAAGUGAAACCAUGUCAACCUGUGAGGGUGCUGUGUCUAGAAGUGUGGAGCGUGGUAGUACCUGACUAAAGCCCAGAGAAGGGAGCAAGAAGGAGCUGAAGAAAGUGUGGCCCCCAGGAGCCAUGAAGACCACGGUUCGCUUUCCUGGGAAGGUUCCCUAACCCUGGACUAUAAGAUGUAGCAAGACUUAUAUUCAGUGAUUAAAAAAUGAAAGAAAGAAAAGAAA
rnacentral:lncRNA from 1 species